rnacentral:rRNA from 1 species
GAUGAACGCUGGCGGCGUGCCUAAUACAUGCAAGUCGAGCGAACGGACGAGAAGCUUGCUUCUCUGAUGUAAGCGGCGGACGGGUGAGUAACACGUGGAUAACCUACCUAUAAGACUGGGAUAACUUCGGGAAACCGGAGCUAAUACCGGAUAAUAUUUUGAACCGCAUGGUUCAAAAGUGAAAGACGGUCUUGCUGUCACUUAUAGAUGGAUCCGCGCUGCAUUAGCUAGUUGGUAAGGUAACGGCUUACCAAGGCAACGAUGCAUAGCCGACCUGAGAGGGUGAUCGGCCACACUGGAACUGAGACACGGUCCAGACUCCUACGGGAGGCAGCAGUAGGGAAUCUUCCGCAAUGGGCGAAAGCCUGACGGAGCAACGCCGCGUGAGUGAUGAAGGUCUUCGGAUCGUAAAACUCUGUUAUUAGGGAAGAACAUAUGUGUAAGUAACUGUGCACAUCUUGACGGUACCUAAUCAGAAAGCCACGGCUAACUACGUG